rnacentral:misc_RNA from 1 species
ACUUGAGAUAUAUUUUGCCUAUUUCGAAAUCGAAUGCAAGAAAAUUAAUUCAUCUUUAAUCUUUUCGUCACUUUUAAAGUUUUCUUACUUUUAUAGAAAUUAUAUUAUAGUUUUAGUAAAACCGAAUUAGAGCGUAGUGCUCUAUUUUAUAUCUUCAUAUCAUUUAAUAAUACAUAGCAGCAUUCAACAAUGAGCGAUAAAAAGCGAGUCAGCAAGGAAACAGAGGCAAGGAUUCGAAAGCGAGUUGACUGUGAGAGAAAAGCACAUGAAACAGUAGAGAGACUAAUAGAAAAUCCGGUUUCUGAAGAAAUGUUUAUUGAAAUUGCAAAAUACAUUCAUCCUGAUCAUUACGAGGACAUCAUUGAAGAGAGAUAUAUAUCAAAGCUGUGUGGUUAUCCGAUUUGCAAAAGUUUUUUAAAAAAUAUACCAAAACAAAAAUAUAAGAUUUGUACAAGAACCAACACUGUUGUUGAUAUUACAAGUAGAAAGCGAUUUUGCAGCGACUUCUGUUAUGAAGCAUCGUUACACUAUGAAAAACAAAUACCCAAUAGCUCAGUUUGGAUGAGAGAAGGAGAAGAUGUGAAAAUAGAACUUUUAUCUGCCGAUACAAAUCCCAUGGGAAAACCCGGUGCUAAAGUUACCCUUCGCUUGGGGGAGGAUAUAAAAGAAGAACUUGAACAAUUAGAGAAAAUUGACUCAAAAUUGGAGAGCUUGAAAUUAGAUGAAGAUUCACAAAAGGCCCAUUCAUUGUCCUAUUUAGAGUAUUCUAAAAAUACUGUUGGCGAUCAAGAUUCCGAUGAAGAUGAACAAAUAGAUAGGAAAAACGAACCCACUGACAUAAUUGCGAAGAGGUUACGGAAAGUAAAAAUAUUGGAGGUUGAAUUUGACAGCGACGAUGAGCAAUCGUGCGAUGACACUGAUGAUAAGGAGAGGGCUGAGAUUCCUGCUGGUGGUCAUGACCUUAAUAUCCAGCAGAUGGCGUCUUAUGUCGGUACCGAGAAAAGUUUUGAAGACAAGGUGAAAGAAAAUUUUACAGAUUGGUUUACCGACGCAACUGCAGAAUUUAUAACUGGAUCAGGUGGAAAAACUAAAGAUGAUAAAAACAAAGAAAAAUGGAAUAGUUUACGGAAUGAAGCCGACAUUCAAAAUGAUAAAGUUUCGAAAUUCUACCACCCGAAAAUCUGUAAUAAAGUGAGAUUCGAAGAGCCAGAGAAUGAGAGGACUAUGACGGAUGUCGAUUUGCCAGAUGUCGACAAGUACACUCAAAUUCGUUUCAGGAGGAGAAUUACAAUGGAAAAAUUGACCAAAGCGUACGUUUCCGCAUUCGCCCAAUUUAUUAAAUUAUCCAAUAUCAUUCUUUUCGGCAGUAUGACACCACUCUUAGAGGAUUUUCGAUUAGCUUUUCGAGACAUUUCCGAUGACGUCCGGCAGUUGGUCAACACCUUCAAGUACGUAAAAUUGAAAGUCUUCUUGGUAUACUUCUCAAUAAAAAACUUCUUUGUUGAAUUAAAACAGCUUGACCAGCGAUAAUAUUGUUAUGAAAAGUACUGAGUGGCGGAAAAUUGCAACAUAUGUCUUAUUGUGGUAAGUCAAAUAGCUUAUUCGGUAGAUGGCAGCUCAUUUUAUCGCUUAAAAGCCUCUGAUAAUCACAACGAAUCGCAUUUGUUUUUACGACCGGCGCAUAUGUCGAAAGAGGGGAUUUUAUGACUUGUCCAUUUUUACGACUGUGCCCCGUUUCAUCGAGUAAAAAGAGAUUGAGCCCGCAUUCGUUAUUUCAAUAACUGGCAUACAAGCCUUUGUUAAAGGAUGAAUGCGCUUGAGGUCGCCUAAGAUUUGCGGAAGAAGAGUUGCGCGGCGCCCUCAGAUAAAAAACAUGUCAAACACUUAAAAUCUUUUAAACGACGUUUGCUCAGGUUCGACCCUGACCUUGAUCACGUGCAGCCAAACUAUUCUAUAGCUGCCAUACUUGCCCUUUUGCCGCAAAAGAAUUGCGGCGGGCCGUAUCGAUUUCGAACAGUUUUGUCUUGUCUGGCUAAUUGUGGUUUGACAACGUCUCAGAGGUGUUGUGCUCAGCUUUUCUGACAUUUACUGUCUUUGUUUGCGUACCGGUAUAAACUUUAUGCGUGUGUAUAUACACAAAUAUGUUUGUUUGUAUACGGGCAAGAAAUAAUUGCGAACGAUUGAUAUAAUCAAGUAGGCGGCAAUUAUACGCGCAUGAGAGAUAAGAUAAGUAGCCGGAUCGACUAUUAUUGAGGAAAGUGCAAACGAUUUCCCUCUUUUACAAAACGUUGCCUGUCAAUUAAAGCCGUAAAAUGGCCAGUUAAAGAGCAACAAUUAAGACAUCAUCUAAUUAAGCGUCGCCACUCUUUUCAGCUGCUCUCGUUCAAGCUCGAUUUGCCCUCAGACAAUAAGCACGCGCUGAAAUGCAGAUGUUUUCACCAUUCAAAUCGCCUCUAUACGGUCGUUGAGGAUGCCACCUGCUUUUUUCUUUGAUUGUCAAACGAUUGUGUAAUAAGUAAGAUGGAUACGCCGAUAAUUAUUCUCGUUUCUUUUUUAUAUAUGAAAAACUCAUUGGACUUCGCGGCUUGAACACUGAAUAAUAUAUAUUAGGUUAAAAAACAGAUUAAGCAGGUGCCGUCCAUUUUUGAAAGUUUAUUCUUUUAUUAUGACGUUACGGUGUGAGUCUUCAAUCAAAUUCAAUCGUCUAGAGUUUCUAUGCCUAAACAUUUACGCUUUUAGUAUGAUCGCAUAAAAAACGUUUCUUUUUUUUUUUACCGUUAUAAAUCAUCAAUCCUAUCUGAUGACGUCUAUAAAAAUUUCUAUAAUUAAAAUUUCCCCUUUCAAUAUCCUCCUGGCAUAGUUUGUUCAAGUUUCAGUUUUGAAUAAGAGACGCCGUCAUGCUCUCUUGAACGUCUUUUCCGUUCACUUUAACUCGAUUAUACGAUCGUCAUGCUGGCUUUAAUUUAUAAAAAAGUGUCUUUGUCUUGCUUUUUCCAUAAGAAUAAAAUUUUUUUUAACUAUAAAAAACAUUUAUGUGUUUGCAUACAUAAUUUUAAAGAAAAUGUUAUUUUAAAGAGUUUAUGAUGAAUUAUCCUUAAGCGGAAAAUGGACACUUAUGGAGAAAUAAGCCAGGUGUCGAAGAUUUUAAUCAGGCCUUUUUGAAGUUUCACCUUCCAACGUCGGCCUGUUUUGAAGUUCAUAGGUUUAUUUCGGCUGUCGCAUCUACAUACAUCGACAGCCCAUUAUUGAACGUUCAAGAGCACUUGAGCCCUACUUAGAUAUGAUUGUGAUUAAUUACUAUCCGAAUAAGGCGCAUUUACAGAUAUUGAUUUAAUUAUAUAUAUGGUUGCCUAGGCCUAUUUAGGGCUAUCACGCUAACGCCUAGUUAGUCAAGUAUAGACGAGGGGGUGGAAUGCGGCAAUUGUGCGAUAAAUGGACGAUGGGCGUUUGUAGGCGGGGCUGUUUGUUGACUCGCAUAGUUCCUGCUCACCUUCUACUCGAGUUAGUUAACGACAUCGGACAGGAACAAGCAAAAGUGUAGGGUUAAAUAAAUACGGGUAUCUGGCAGACGGUAAAAAAAGAUAUAGCAAUCGGUGGGAGGUAGGCUUUCCAUUGUAAAAGAGACGGGAGAGAGGUUUAAGCGCGGGAGAGGGGGGUAAAGGCGGUCGUGCACCGUACGGUUAGAAUUUGAGACGCGUUGAAUAUUAUUUUCUUUUAAUAAAACGAUAAAGAACCAACCGCUACUGAAUUCGAUAUGUUGGAGUGUUGCUCCCGGCGUAGCGUUAAUAAACUGCUUAUGAAAUUUCACUUUUGAUACGCUUCUUUUUCAGCGUUUCACCCCGGCAGCUGCCUCUCUAUUGUCCACUCAGUAUUCGUUCGGCGCCACUUUUGAUACGCGAUAUUAAUUAUAUUUUACGGCGACAGUUUGCCAAGCGGAAGGAAUUAAGUAAUAAAUGAGUGCUAAUUGGCAAUAAGUGGCGAGAUCAUAAGCGGAUUCCAUAACGCCCAUUUUCUCAAUCAUUAAAGCGUUUCACAAGGCUUUCCCUCUCACCGCCCCUAAAGUGUUGUGACAUGCGUCCGUAUGUUCAUUAUUUUGAACCGCUUGAAAAAGACACCUGACACCCCGAAUACCCUGGAUGACAAGGAUACGAAAUUUGUUUCGGAUCUUAUUGGCUCUACGACGAUAAAAAGCGUCAUAAUAGGACAAAACCAAUGCUAGAAAUGCGCGUAAGGCGAUGCGGACAAACGCAGCGUCACUUGCGGCGUUUCUCCCCGCGGACGGACGUCACCGCUAUAAUCUGAUUGCACCUUUCAGGAGAUUGUGUGCGUGUGGCACAAAGAAAAUGCCGCGAAAAUCUGCCAAAAUGUCGCCGCAAAUGGCUACCACUUUCGGGGUUGUUAUAUGAUUAAAUAUGCAUACGUAUAGACAGGCGCGUGGAGAGCUGCAGCGGUCAUAUUUGUCUUUAUACGACUUUAUAUGCGUUGUUUGUUUGUUUAUAUAAAUGUGAAUAUAUACUUUUUAUUUAUACACGAAAUGAGUGGGCAAGUAUAAAGCAGUCCAUAAAUUUUUUUAUACGAAUGCUGGUAUAUUUCAAUAUCAACAUAAUUUCAUUCCUUUGAAGAAUAUUACAAAUAUAGGAUUUUUUGUACAUAGAUAUACAUAGAUAGAUAUGCAUAUAAAUAUUGUAUGUAUAGGGGAUAUUGGAACAUCUUUCACCUAUACAAAAGACCGCUAAUCUAUUGAAUAAAUAUUGCCAUAAAAUGAAAUAUUAUACAGAAUAGUUGGUCGUUUUCGAUAUCUACGCUUCGUUGUUCCGCAUAUUGAUUUUACGUAAGACAAGAUGUUAGUUCAAUCGAGUUCGGCAUUGAAUUGUCAAAUUCUUUACUAGCUCUUCAAGCUCGUUUAUGUUUGAUUUGUGCGUGAAUAUAUAUGAAUAAGAUGACGUCUGUAAAAAUUGCCGUCUGAAUAAAUAUC